UGAGGAAUAUUGGUCAAUGGGCGCGAGCCUGAACCAGCCAAGUCGCGUGAGGGAAGACUGCCCUAUGGGUUGUAAACCUCUUUUGUCAGGGAGCAAAUGAGCCACGUGUGACUCUAUGAGAGUACCUGAAGAAAAAGCAUCGGCUAACUCCGUGCCAGCAGCCGCGGUAAUACGGAGGAUGCGAGCGUUAUCCGGAUUUAUUGGGUUUAAAGGGUGCGUAGGCGGAAAGUCAAGUCAGCGGUAAAAUUUCGGGGCUCAACCCCGUCCGGCCGUUGAAACUGGCUUCCUUGAGUGAGCGAGAGGUAUGCGGAAUGCGUGGUGUAGCGGUGAAAUGCAUAGAUAUCACGCAGAACCCCGAUUGCGAAGGCAGCAUACCGGUGCUCAACUGACGCUGAGGCACGAAAGCGUGGGGAUCAAACAGG
rnacentral:rRNA from 1 species